rnacentral:rRNA from 1 species
GACAGAGGUCCCGAGCGUUAGGCGGAAUCACUGGGCUUAAAGCGUGUGUAGGCGGAUGCCUAAGUACCUUGUGAAAUCCCACGGCUCACCCGUGGAACUGCUUGGUAUACUGGGUGUCUUGAGCCACUUAGGGGCUACCGGAACAAAUGGUGGAGCGGUGAAAUGCGUAGAUAUCAUUUGGAACGCCAAUGGUGAAAACAGGUAGCUGGGGGUGUGCUGACGCUGAGACACGAAAGCCAGGGGAGCAAACGGG